CGCGCGCGAUGUGGGAGCUCGCGGCCAGAGCGCCCGGGGAGGCCGGGCCCACGACGCCCGUGGCUCCGCUGCGGCAGCGGCGGUGCUGGUGUCGCGCGCGGCCGGGAGGCGGCUUCGCGCCGCGGGCGGGAGGCUGCGGCGGGCGACCCGUCCUGGACACGCGAGGAAGAGCGAGCCGAUGGCGGCAGGGGCCGCGCUUCGACCCGGUAACUUAGAAGAUGAUAAUUAAUGUGGUUGCUGAUAAUUCUGAAUAAAUACAGCUUUUAUCCCAGGUGUGCCAUUUUGAAGACUGAGACCAUAGAGUUCUAAGAAUAAAGGAAAGAGCCCUUGGGAAAUUAUUAUAUAUAGCAAAAAUGUGAAUCCUCAGAUGGAAUGAAAGGCCUGCACCAUAGACAUUGAAGCAUUUAAAUUUUUUUCUUCUAAUUUUUUAUGAAGCACCCCGCUUGAAGAGUUUGAAAUGGACUUUACCACUGAGAAAUCAAGAUGGCAGCCCAUUAUGGGGAAUUGAGGAAAAUGGAUUAAUGCAAGAAUGCUGUAAUAUUAUACAACCAACACAGGAUUCUUUUAAUGUGGAUUCCAUGAAAUGAAUGAUUCUUACCCAACACAAAUGGACAGUGGAAUUUACUUCCUAAAGACUUGUUACAUGUCAUGUACAUUUUUGACAUCUGGAGAAGACUCUACAAUUCUACAAAUGGUAGUUUGUAUUCCUGGAAUUUCUUGCAGUUUGAUCUGAAGUGACCUUAUGGAAUGUUAACUUUAAUAAAAUCUCUAAAACUUAAAAA
ensembl:processed_transcript 1810026B05Rik RIKEN cDNA 1810026B05 gene